GUGGGUAGUCCGCACGAGCGCACCUCACUUUUAUUUGCCAUCAUUAAGUUGGGCACUCUGAAAGAACUGCCAGUGAUAAGCUGGAGGAAGGUGGGGAUGACGUCAAGUCCUCAUGGCCCUUACGUGUUGGGCUACACACGUGCUACAAUGGCAUCUACAACAGGAAGCAAAACGGCAACGUUAAGCAAAUCCCGAAAAGAUGCCUCAGUUCGGAUUGCACUCUGCAACUCGAGUGCAUGAAGCUGGAAUUACUAGUAAUCGUGGAUCAGCGUGCCACGGUGAAUGCGUUCCCGGGUCUUGUACACACCGCCCGUCACACCAUGGGAGUUGGUUCUACCUUAAGGCAAGGUUUUAAACCCUUGACCACGGUAUAGUCAGCGACUGGGGUGAAGUCGUAACAAGGUAGCCGUAGGGGAACCUGCGGCUGGAUUACCUCCUUUCU
rnacentral:rRNA from 1 species